GAUGAACGCUGGCGGCGUGCCUAAUACAUGCAAGUCGAGCGAACAGACGAGGAGCUUGCUCCUCUGACGUUAGCGGCGGACGGGUGAGUAACACGUGGAUAACCUACCUAUAAGACUGGGAUAACUUCGGGAAACCGGAGCUAAUACCGGAUAAUAUAUUGAACCGCAUGGUUCAAUAGUGAAAGACGGUUUUGCUGUCACUUAUAGAUGGAUCCGCGCCGCAUUAGCUAGUUGGUAAGGUAACGGCCUACCAAGGCAACGAUGCGUAGCCGACCUGAGAGGGUGAUCAGCCACACUGGAACUGAGACACGGUCCAGACUCCUACGGGAGGCAGCAGUAGGGAAUCUUCCGCAAUGGGCGAAAGCCUGACGGAGCAACGCCGCGUGAGUGAUGAAGGUCUUCGGAUCGUAAAACUCUGUUAUUAGGGAAGAACAAAUGUGUAAGUAACUAUGCACGUCUUGACGGUACCUAAUCAGAAAGCCACGGCUAACUACGUG
rnacentral:rRNA from 1 species